rnacentral:snRNA from 1 species
AGAUGUGGGGAUGAUAUGAAUGUGAUAUCUCCAGGGUUAACUCAAGUGAUCUGGCUGGCCAGGCUGGCAUCCCCUCUCUCUCCACGAUUCCCUCUUCAUUCCAUCGGUGUCCUUCCCAAAGCUUCAAGGUGGGCUGAAGGAACAGCUUUCCCCACUAGAGGAAGAGAAGGCACUCUUCAGUCUAGGGUGAUCGGGGAACUGCAUUCUGCACAGAACCUCCAAACAAGCCUGGAGAAGCCUGCUUCACAGUAGCAGUUGGGAUUCAGCAAUUCCUGUCUCAGAAACAUACUAAAAUACACACAUGUAUGAACCGGAGGACAUGUACAGGAAUGU